rnacentral:lncRNA from 10 species
AAUAUUUGUUGAAUGAAUAAAUGGAAGGAUUAAUGACUUUAUUCAUCAUGAAUCCCUACGUUAUUUCUGCCCACCUUGCUUCCUUUGGAUUGUAAUUUGAUUUUGUUUAUUGAUCUGUCUGUAGGGAGAGAAUGACCCCAUGGUAGUGAUGCAGCUAUAGUGGCAUUACAAUUAUAUUCCUCAUAGGAAUUUAAAAGUUAGCAUUUUGGUUUUAUUUAUAGACACCACUAGACUGUGAAUGCUUCACUGUAGAGCCUAGCACAGUGCCUGAAAUGUCCAGCGAAUGUUCCCUGCUUCAGUCUAGGUUGUUGUUUCAUUUGGUCAGGGCAUCAGAUAAAACACUCUCAUCUUUAAAAACCAGAUAAGUAGUAAUCCUAAAAAUAAAAAGUGAAAUAAAAUUUAAGUUGUGGUGGAUGGCUUAUCGAACACGAGAUACAGCAGAUGGGGGCAUGGUUAUGUCUGCCCUCUUUCUUUCAUUCUAAAUAGGGGUCUUCCAUCAUACACUUUGGAUGAAGCUAUUUCAAGUGCAGGUGUGGGAUGUUGGCUCAGGAUAAAUUACUUGGCAUCAAGCAUUCCCUAAUGUUACAAACGUGAAGACAGGUUAAAAUGAACAACAUGGUGGCUUGUGCCUGUAAUACUAGCUACUGGGGAGGCUGCA